CAGUGUUCUCCAAGGGCGAGGACAAGUGAGUUUUGGGUAAAGCAGGAACCUCCAAGUCCCUGGUUUAGAGUCUUCUCGGAGUCUUGAAGGUUUCUGCUGAAAAGAAAUUCUCUGAGAGGAUAUCUUUGGCUACUCUAUAUAAGAAACCAACACAACUUUGCAAAAAUUUACAAGCAAAAACUGGUAGAACAACAAAAAAUUUACUGUGGCUUGAGUAGAUACUUUACUGUUGUUUUGAGUGACUCAAGAAAGCUCUCCUCCUCGUAGUGAUGUAUAGUUAAGAGAACUCGAGUCUGCUGCUGCUGCUAAGUUGCUUCAGUCGUGUUCAACUCUGUGCGACCCCAUGGACAGCAGCCGACCAGGCUCCGCCGUUUCUGGAAU